rnacentral:rRNA from 1 species
GGGAAAUCUUACCGGGUCCGGACACACUGAGGAUUGACAGGUAAUAUUAUUUAAAUAUUUGAAAUUUCAAUUUUUUCUCGGAAAUUUUGGAAUGGACUUUAUUUUUAUAUGUAAAUAUGCUAGUCCUUUCAUGAUUAUGUGAUAGGUGGUGCAUGGCCGUUCUUAGUUCGUGGAGUGAUCUGUCUGCUUAAUUGCGUUUCACUAAGAGCUUAUCAAUUUACGUAUGUCUCGCUAGCGUAUUUUGACCCCCAUUUCUUUUUUAACUUUAUAAAGUUUUUUUUGAAUAUUCGUUUCUCUGAAACAAUGUUCUUAAAAUUCUUUUUGUUAUUAAAGAAUUGUGCGCGUGUCAUUUAUGUAUCAAGCAGCAUACAAUUAAGCUCUGAAAGCAACGA